rnacentral:sRNA from 1 species
GUUGUUGCAACUUUGUGAGAUCCUGGGGAAGGUGCUGAGACUUUGGCUCGGGCCGAUUUCCCAGUCUCGGGAUCCUUGCAGGGAUUCCCUGAGCCGCAUCCUCUCUUCCCUCCACGCGCACUCGCGGGUCCUCGGAGCCCGCUGCCCUCUCUGUCCUGGCCCCUCGGCCUACUCACCCGUCCCGUCCCCUUCAGUUCCCCCCAGCCUGCACGGGGAAGACUUGCUGAGGGUCGCCCCGGUUUCUUGUCGACCGCAGAACCCGAAAGUUUGCAAGAGGAAGAGAGCGCGCGGCGAACGAGCGAGCGGGCCGGGGGCAGCGGCGCCGGGGACCAUGGUGCUGCCGGCGCCUCCUCCGCGGGCGUGAAGGCGGCGCUCCUACUCCCUCCCCGGACUCCGCGGUGUCCCAGAAGCUUUUGUUGACAAUUCCAGUUUCCGAACAAAACAUUUCGGCAAUGGUGAGGGCUUCGAUCCCUUCUCUGAUUUGCUGUCAGCCAUGAGCGGAUGGAUGUGAUGCCUGCUAGCCAAAAGG